AUCCAACUGACGAAUCCCAAAUAGGACGAAACGUGCGUCCUGGAU
rfam:Schistosoma mansoni, Puerto Rico, WGS project CABG01000000 data, contig: 0105